AAAACCUAAUCAUUAUCCUGCGAAUCGGGUCCUUGGUAUUUCCUAAUCAUUAUCCUAUGAAUCAGGAUUUUUGAAUUCUUUUCAAUGGCUUCAUACCCGUGCAAUCUCGAAGAAGAAAUGACCAGAUUAGAUGUUUUAUAUUAUGGUGAAGCAGAUAUGAGUAUCGAGAACAUGAUGAAAUAUUGUGCACAAGUGGCAGCCACAAGGGGCUAUGAUGUUGAUGAUUAUCCUGGUUUUGCGAUCGGUUUGAUUACUCCAAUAAAACUUGAUCAAGCUGAGUACUAGAAAUUAACUCCAUAUGCAGAGAAGACUAUAGGCUACUUCAAUGAACAAAAUGUAUGUUUUCUCCUUUCAGUAUCACAUUAAAUCAAUACUUUGUUAUAUGUGGCAAAAUUAAAAUAUAUUUUUAUUGGUUUACGUGCAACAUACAAA